rnacentral:rRNA from 1 species
GCCAUGGGCAGGUUGAAGGUUGGGUAACACUAACUGGAGGACCGAACCGACUAAUGUUGAAAAAUUAGCGGAUGACCUGUGGCUGGGGGUGAAAGGCCAAUCAAACCGGGAGAUAGCUGGUUCUCCCCGAAAGCUAUUUAGGUAGCGCCUCGUGAAUUCAUCUCCGGGGGUAGAGCACUGUUUCGGCUAGGGGGCCAUCCCGGCUUACCAACCCGAUGCAAACUGCGAAUACCGGAGAAUGUUAUCACGGGAGACACACGGCGGGUGCUAACGUCCGUCGUGAAGAGGGAAACAACCCAGACCGCCAGCUAAGGUCCCAAAGUCAUGGUUAAGUGGGAAACGAUGUGGGAAGGCCCAGACAGCCAGGAUGUUGGCUUAGAAGCAGCCAUCAUUUAAAGAAAGCGUAAUAGCUCACUGGUCGAGUCGGCCUGCGCGGAAGAUGUAACGGGGCUAAACCAUGCACCGAAGCUGCGGCAGCGACACUGUGUGUUGUUGGGUAGGGGAGCGUUCUGUAAGCCUGUGAAGGUGUGUCGUGAGGCAUGCUGGAGGUAUCAGAAGUGCGAAUGCUGACAUAAGUAACGAUAAAGCGGGUGAAAAGCCCGCUCGCCGGAAGACCAAGGGUUCCUGUCCAACGUUAAUCGGGGCAGGGUGAGUCGACCCCUAAGGCGAGGCCGAAAGGCGUAGUCGAUGGGAAACGGGUUAAUAUUCCCGUACUUGGUGUUACUGCGAAGGGGGGACGGAGAAGGCUAUGUUGGCCGGG